GGGGGCGACAGGUUUCGACGGCAACAGGAGGGUUUAGGAGAGCGGGCCGAGGUUGGGACUUCCUCGUUAAUCUGGGUCCCGAAAAGAAAAACGCCAACGAUAACUACGCUCUGGCUGCUUAGUUAGCGGCCACGCUCCUUGGGAUCGCGCCGCCGGAUCUCAAGAGGGCGUCACUUAGGCGGCUGGAUGGGUGGUUUAGCCUUUCGGUCACCUGUCGAGACUCUAGGAAGGCCCGGGUAAGGGGAUCCCGCCCGUGGGAGCCUCUGGCCUUAAACUAAAACGCGGGAUACGCCCGUAGCGCUUCUAGGCUGGCCGUUGUCGGACGGGGGUUCGAUUCCCCCCGCCUCCACCA
rfam:Thermanaerovibrio acidaminovorans DSM 6589, complete genome.